rnacentral:misc_RNA from 1 species
AUGUGUGCAUGCAGAAAUUAUAUUAUAAAGAAUGUGUUCAAACAGGGAGCCAUAGAUUUCUUGAACUCUCUUUUAGGCCUACUUUCUAACCUCAAAAGGCAAAAGAAAUUUUAGUUUUCACUUUGAUGCCUAAUCCAACCUAUCUAAUUAAACAUGUGGUUCAUAGAAAUGAUUCUGCAGGCUUAAACCAUUCCUAGAAAUCACCUCAUGGCUAAACUCCUCAACAGACAUUCAAUACAAAGAAAUCCUUACUGUAGAUGAUUUAACACAAACUUGGCUUUUUUUUUUUUUUUAU